CCCAUAACACCACAUAGGGCCCAUAUUACACCACAUAGGGCCCACAUUACACUACAUGGGACCCCAUAACAUCACAUAGGACCCCCCUUACACCACAUAGGACCCAUAUUACACCCUCCAGGUCCAAUAUUAUACCACAUAGGGCCCACAUUACACUACAUAGGGCCCCAUAACUCCACAUAGGGCCCAUAUUACACCAUAUAGGGCCCACAUUACCCCACACAGGGCCCCAUAACACAGCCUAGAGCCUAUAAAACCCCACCUAGGACUAUAUAACGCCCUUCAGGCCCACAUUACACCCUAUAGAUUCACAGAACACCCUCCAUUGCCUACACAGCACUACUCAGAACCCUAUAAUCCCUAAAAACCCUAAAACGACCCCAAAACGCCUCGGCGGAAGUUAGGCCGCGUUGCCAUGGCGAUGAGUGGGGCCGUUCGGUGGCCGGUAGGAGCUCGCGGAGCCUGACGAGUUUAAGAUGGACCCGGAGGCGCUCGUCCAGUGUCCGUACGACAAAGCGCAUCAGAUCCGGGUGUCCCGGCUGCCGUAUCACCUCGUCAAGUGCCAGCGGAACAACCCGCAGGUAGCUCGCACCUUGGAGGUCUGCCCCUUUAACGCCAGGCACAGGCUGCCCCGGGCCGAGCUUCAGAGACACAUCGCCUGCUGCCCCGACCAGCGGCAGCUCUUUGACUGCCACGUGUUAUCUAUGUGCGCCCGUGACCCAACAAAGCAGCCCAAGGUCCCCGUGGCCUGGCAGGCCCCACCGUGCCAAGAGGACUGGGAGGCAGAGGUGGAUGAGCUGGAGGAAGCUGCGCCGUUUAUCCUUAACACCACAGCGGGUGACCUGCCCCUCCAAGGUGACAGCACCGCUCUGACUGCGCCCCCAAAGUGGAGCCGAGAUGUGGGUCGAGCUGCAGCAAUAACAACAGGAUAUUUUAUGGAGGGGCAGGACCAGCAGGAGAAGAACAGAGCAAAGAAGAUGGUGGCACAACCCAGGUGGUGCCCAAAUCCCCUUUAGGACCACAAGAAAAGCAAAGGCGGCACCUUUGCUCGCCUGAGGUGGGGACAGCACCAAAGAGGAGACCCAGAACCAUCCAGCAUGACCAAACCAGCUCCAGGAUGUUCCCAGCCACGAAGACCCCACAAACCCCCCCCCCCCAACACU